UUUUUUUGGAGAGUUUGAUCCUGGCUCAGGACGAACGCUGGCGGCGUGCUUAACACAUGCAAGUCGAACGGGGUGUUUAUUUCGGUAAACACCAAGUGGCGAACGGGUGAGUAACGCGUAAGCAAUCUACCUUCAAGAUGGGGACAACACUUCGAAAGGGGUGCUAAUACCGAAUGAAUGUAAGAGUAU
rnacentral:rRNA from 1 species